GAUGAACGCUGGCGGCGUGCCUAAUACAUGCAAGUCGAGCGAACGGACGAGAAGCUUGCUUUUCUGAUGUUAGCGGCGGACGGGUGAGUAACACGUGGAUAACCUACCUAUAAGACUGGGAUAACUUCGGGAAACCGGAGCUAAUACCGGAUAAUAUUUUGAACCGCAUGGUUCAAAAGUGAAAGACGGUCUUGCUGUCACUUAUAGAUGGAUCCGGGCUGAAUUAGCUAGUUGGUAAGGUAACGGCUUACCAAGGCAACGAUGCAUAGCCGACCUGAGAGGGGGAUCGGCGACACUGGAACUGAGACACGGUCCAGACUCUACGGGAGGCAGCAGUAGGGAAUCUUCCGCAAUGGGCGAAAGCCUGACGGAGCAACGCCGCGUGAGUGAUGAAGGUCUUCGGAUCGUAAAACUCUGUUAUUAGGGAAGAACAUAUGUGUAAGUAACUGUGCACAUCUUGACGGUACCUAAUCAGAAAGUCACGGCUAACUACGUG
rnacentral:rRNA from 1 species